rnacentral:rRNA from 1 species
UACAGAGACUGCAAGCGUUAUUCGGAUUCACUGGGCGUAAAGGGUGCGCAGGCGGCCAAGUGUGUUAGGCGUGAAAGCCCGGGGCUUAACCCCGGAAUUGCACCUAAAACUACAUGGCUAGAGCAUUGGAGAGGGUAGCGGAAUUCACGGGUGUAGCAGUGAAAUGCGUAGAUAUCGUGAGGAACACCAGAGGCGAAGGCGGCUACCUGGACAAUUGCUGACGCUCAGGCACGAAAGCGUGGGGAGCAAAAGGG